GACGGAAGGUGCAAGCGUUGCUCGGAAUCACUGGGCGUAAAGGGCGCGUAGGCGGCGCAACAAGUCACUUGUGAAAUCUCCGGGCUUAACCCGGAGCGGUCAAGUGAUACUGUCGUGCUAGAGUGCGGAAGGGGCUACUGGAAUUCUCGGUGUAGCGGUGAAAUGCGUAGAUAUCGAGAGGAACACCUGCGGCGAAGGCGGGUUGCUGGGCUGACACUGACGCUGAAGCGCGAAAGCUAGGGGAGCGAACGGG
rnacentral:rRNA from 1 species